UUCCCUUUGUUAUCCUAUGCCUUGAUUAUGUGCCGAGGCAUGGAGCACAAGAGGAAAC
rnacentral:pre_miRNA from 1 species